UACGUAGGAGACGAGCGUUGUCCGGAAUUACUGGGCGUAAAGCGCGUGUAGGCGGAUGAGCAAGUCUGCUGUGAAAGCUCCUGGCUUAACCGGGAGUGGUCGGUGGAAACUGCUCGUCUGGAGGACGGUAGAGGUAGGUAGAAUUCCAGGUGCAGCGGUGAAAUGCGUAGAUAUCUGGAGGAAUACCGGUGGCGAAGGCGGCAUCCUGGACCGGCAUUGACGCUGAGGAGCGAAAGCCAGGGGAGCAAACGGG
rnacentral:rRNA from 1 species